AUGGAUAACCAAUCCAUUUUCCAAUAUAGUUGGGAGAUUUUACCCAAGAAAUGGGUACAUAAAAUGAAAAGAUCGGAACAUGGGAAUAGAUCUUAUACCAAUACUGACUACCCAUUUCCAUUGUUGUGCUUUCUAAAAUGGCAUACCUAUACAAGGGUUCAAGUUUCGAUCGAUAUUUGCGGAGUGGAUCAUCCCUCUCGAAAACGAAGAUUUGAAGUUGUCCAUAAUUUACUGAGUACUCGGUAUAACUCACGCAUUCGUGUACAAACAAGUGCAGACGAAGUAACACGAAUAUCUCCGGUAGUCAGUCUAUUUCCAUCAGCCGGCCGGUGGGAGCGAGAAGUAUGGGAUAUGUCUGGUGUUUCUUCCAUCAAUCAUCCGGAUUUACGCCGUAUAUCAACAUAUUAUGGUUUCGAGGGUCAUCCAUUACGAAAAGACUUUCCUCUGAGUGGAUAUGUGGAAGUACGCUAUGAUGAUCCAGAGAAACGUGUGGUUUCUGAACCCAUUGAGAUGACCCAAGAAUUUCGCUAUUUCGAUUUUGCUAGUCCUUGGGAACAGCGUAGCGACGGAUAA
rnacentral:rRNA from 1 species